rnacentral:piRNA from 1 species
GUAUACUGUUGGGCUGGAGAGAU